rnacentral:rRNA from 1 species
UACGUAGGGUGCAAGCGUUGUCCGGAAUUAUUGGGCGUAAAGAGCUCGUAGGCGGUCUGUCGCGUCGGCUGUGAAAACCCGGGGCUCAACUCCGGGCCUGCAGUCGAUACGGGGCAGACUAGAGUUCGGUAGGGGAGACUGGAAUUCCUGGUGUAGCGGUGAAAUGCGCAGAUAUCAGGAGGAACACCGGUGGCGAAGGCGGGUCUCUGGGCCGAAACUGACGCUGAGGAGCGAAAGCGUGGGGAGCAAACAGG